UACGAAGGUCCCGAGCGUUGUUCGGAAUCACUGGGCGUAAAGGGAGCGUAGGCGGUAUGGUAAGUCAGAUGUGAAAUCCCGGGGCUCAACCCCGGAACUGCAUCCGAUACUGCCGUGCUAGAGGACUGGAGAGGCAACUGGAAUUCUCGGUGUAGCAGUGAAAUGCGUGGAUAUCGAGAGGAACACUCGUGGCGAAAGCGAGUUGCUGGACAGUAUCUGACGCUGAGGCUCGAAGGCUAGGGGAGCGAAA
rnacentral:rRNA from 1 species